rnacentral:lncRNA from 10 species
CACUGGGGGUGCUGGCUCUUUAAAAGGCCAUCUCAGCUGAGGUCCAGUGUUAGUUACCUGGAGGGCAUGGCAUGCCUCUAUCAUAGCCCUGUUGAUUGAACAGGGUACUUCCUCCCAGCACACCUAUUUUGUUUUGUUUCUGUUUCUUUCCUUUGUGUUUUCUUCUCCAUGGAAUUUGCCAUCAUAAAACUUAUGUUUGUGGUGGUUUUUAUCAAGUAACAAUGGUGAAUCAAGAGGCUCUAUGCUUGGUGUACAAAUAUAAUGUAGGACUAACCACAGGCUUUAUUCAUACCUAUUUUCUUUCCCAUAAUGACCCAUCUGUGGUGAAAUUCCAGUAAAAUUAAACUUCAACAGCUCUAAAUGAUAAAAUCAGUUACUUUCAAGUUGAGCAAUUAUAACGACAAAAUAAUCCAAGCCUUACCAGCAUGACUCCUGGUGGCAGCUGGCUUACAGCAGGCAAGCAUUUCAAUCCUUCUGACCCCUUCAUUUGUGUGUAACAGUGAAUUAGAUCUUUGUUUCUUGGCCCACAUUCUCAGGUGGACCGUCCCCAGGGUCUGGGUGGCUGUGUGACCAGGAGGGUGCUUGGGGGAGCACUGAGGGCUGUGCAGUACCCAUUUCCCUU